ACGAACGCUGGCGGCGUGCUUAACACAUGCCAGUCGAACGGAAAGGCCCUGCUUUUGUGGGGUGCUCGAGUGGCGAACGGGUGAGUAACACGUGAGUAACCUGCCCUUGACUUUGGGAUAACUUCAGGAAACUGGGGCUAAUACCGGCUAGGAGCUCCUGCUGCAUGGUGGGGGUUGGAAAGUUUCGGCGGUUGGGGAUGGACUCGCGGCUUAUCAGCUUGGUGGUGGGGUAGUGGCUUACCAAGGCUUUGACGGGUAGCCGGCCUGAGAGGGUGACCGGCCACAUUGGGACUGAGAGACGGCCCAGAAUCCUACGGGAGGCAGCAGGGGGGAAUAUUGCACAAUGGGCGGAAGCCUGAUGCAGCAACGCCGCGUGCGGGAUGACGGCCUUCGGGUUGUAAACCGCUUUCGCCUGUGACGAAGCGUGAGUGACGGUAAUGGGUAAAGAAGCACCGGCUAACUACGUG
rnacentral:rRNA from 1 species